UUCGUCCUACGGGACGCAGCAGUGGGGGAUAUUGCACAAUGGGGGAAACCCUGAUGCAGCAACGCCGCGUGAGUGACGAAGGUCUUCGGAUUGUAAAACUCUGUUCUUGGUGAAGAUAAUGACGGUAGCCAAGGAGAAAGCUCCGGCUAACUACGUGCCAGCGGCCGCGGUAAUACGUAGGGAGCGAGCGUUGUCCGGAAUUACUGGGUGUAAAGGGUGCGUAGGCGGCCUUGCAAGUCAGGCGUGAAAACCAUGGGCUCAACCCGUGGACUGCGUUUGACACUGUGAGGCUUGAGUGAAGUAGG
rnacentral:rRNA from 1 species